rfam:Marine Group III euryarchaeote CG-Bathy1 CG-Bathy1-C5, whole genome shotgun sequence.
UACAAGCAGUUACUACGCCGUCUGGUGGAUGACUAGGCUCAGCGGCCGAUGAAGGUCGUGCCAAGCUGCGAUAUUGCUUUGGGGAGGCGCAAGGAGCCAUUGAUCCAAAGAUUACCUAAUAGGACUUCCUUAGUUUUAUACUAAAUCCAGAAUUUAUUCUGGAUAGGGAACGCCCCGAAUUGAAACAUCUUAGUAGGGGCAGGAAAAGAAAUCAAAAGAGAUGGGGUUAGUAAAAGCGAUCGAACACCCCAUAGGGCAAUCCGAAUCCCUUUGCGUAAGCAUAGGGACAUGUGGAGCGACUUGGUUAUCUCCUAAUUCUACAAUCCGAAGUUCGUGUGGAACGCCGGUGCCAUAGAGGGUGACAGCCCCGUAGGAGAAACAGAAAAGGAGAAUUUCCAAGAUUCAAGAGUAGUGUGCGUUGGAUAUCGCGCAUGAAUUUGGGAGGUACUAACUUCCAACCCUAAAUACUAGCUGAGACCGAUAGCGCAUUUAGUAGCGUGAGCGAAAGUUGUAAAGUAUCCCUGACGGGAGAUUAGAAAGACCCUGAAAUCAGACGGUUACAGACUGGUACAGCAUGCAAGGGAAGAUGCGGUUUUACCGCGGACCGAUGUUGUACCGUUCGAUUCGAAAAUUGAUCCAUGGAGUUCCUAUUAUUGGCGAGGUUAAGCACGUAGGUGCGAAGCCGAAGGGAAACCGACAGCCCGCAACCAUUUCGUAUGGUGAGGGGCGAGGUGCGCUCGCCUGGAGUCAAUAGUUGGAUACCCGAAGACAGUCGAUCUAUGCCUGGGCAGGGUGAAGCCCUCUGGAAAGAGGGUGGAGGCCCGCACCGGUACUGAUGUUCAAAUCGUUCGGAUGACCUGGGUAUAGGGGUGAAAGGCCAAUCUAGAUUGUCAAUAGCUGGUUCCUCUCGAAACUGCUCGCAGGCAGACCUUGGCUGAGAUUGGGCGUGCGGUAGAGCACUGAUUAGAUGUUUAGGGGGCGAAAGUCCUCGGCGUUUUGUCAAACUCCGAAUGUGCGUCCUUCGUAGAAGCCAGGCAGUGAGGUCACCGGGGUAAGCUUGGUGUCCGCAAGGAAAACAAACCAGACCGAAGUUAAGGUCCCUAAGUAAUAACUAAGUGUUUUAGAACAAAUGGUGUUUUAGGGCACAGACAGCUGGGAGGUUGGCUUAGAGGCAGCCAUCCUUUAAAGAGUGCGUAACAGCCCACCAGUCGAGUCUUAUUGCCCAGAAAAUGGACGGGACUAAGUUAUUCACCGAUACUUCGGGCCACCGUAAGGUGAUGCGGUAGAGAGGCGUCGUGCGUGGGCAGAAGCAAGGGCGUGAGCUCUUGUGGACCGCGUUCGAAUGAAAAUCAUGGAAUAAGUAGUAGCGUAGACAGGUGAGAAUCCUGUCCGCCGGAGGGGCUAGGGUUCCUCGACGAUGUUUAUCAGUCGAGGGUUAGUCGAUCCUAAGACCACUCUUAACAGAAGUGGUCGAAAGGGAAGCAGGUUAAUAUUCCUGCACCAGUUCACAUUUUGUCCUAUUCCUGACACAUCGGGUCAGGCGGAGCACCCCUGUCAAGGUGUUCCCUUAAUCAAUAAAGUUGUGGAGAACCGUAAUGGUGAGAAGCAAUCUAAGAUUUUGGAAGGGGGAGUAUUUCCCUUCCGCUUUAGCCUGGUGUCCGUGAAAAGGGGGUAGGAGCCGUGUGAUCUGUUCGUACCGAGAACUGACACAGGUGCCCCUAGGUGAGUAGCCUAAGGCGUCUCGGCAGAAUCCAGGCAAGGGAACUCGGCAAAUUAGCCCCGUACCUUUGGUAUAAGGGGUGCCAGCUCUGUAGAGAGCUGGUCGCAGUGACUAGGGAGCUCCGACUGUUUACUAAAAACACAGGUGGCUGCUAGUCCGUAAGGAUGAGUAUAGCCGCUGAAUCCUGCCCAGUGGUGGUAUCUGAAACCCGGUUUCAACCGGACGAAGGACCGCUAAACGGCGGGGGUAACUAUGACCCUCUUAAGGUAGCGUAAUACCUUGUCGCUUAAUUGGCGACUUGCACGAACGGCCUAACGAGAGCUCUACUGUCCCCGCCCGGAGCCCGAUGAAAUUGACUUACUGGCGCACAGUCCAGUACGUCCCAGCCGCAAGCGAAGACCCCGUGGAGCUUUACUGCAACCUGCCGUUGUGGCACGAGUUGUUAUGUGUAGAGUAGACGGGAGACAUUACACAGGUACAGACGCUAGUCUGUCACCGAGUCACCGAUGAAACACCAUCCUUUAUCACUCGUCCCACUUACCCUUUUAGGGAACACCGAUAGGCGGGCAGUUUGGGUGGGGCGCCACUCCCUCGAAAAAAUAACAAGGGAGCCCAAAGGUCAGCUUAGGUAGGUCAGGAAUCUACCGUUAAGUGCAAGGGCAAAAGCUGGCUUGACGUGGUUUGGCAACACAAUAAACCACGAUGCGAAAGCAGGGCCUAGCGAACCAACCAGCGCCGUUAGUAGGUGCGGUUGAUAACAGAAAAGUUACCCCGGGGAUAACUGAGUUGUCUGGAGCAAGAGCCCACAUCGACCUCCAGGCUUGCUACUUCGAUGUCGUCUCUUCCUAUCCUGGGUGUGCAGAAGCACCCAAGGGUGGGGUUGUUCGCCCAUUAAAAGGGAUCGUGAGAUGGGUUUAGACCGUCGUGAGACAGGUUUGUUGCUAUGUGCUGGGACUGUCCAAUACCUGAGGGGAAGGAUCCUCUAGUACGAGAGGAACGAGGGUUCGCAGCCACUAGUUUACCAGUUGUCUGACAAGGCACUGCUGGGCAGCCACGCUGUAAGGGAUAAGAGCUGAAAGCA